UACGUAGGGGGCUAGCGUUGUCCGGAAUCAUUGGGCGUAAAGCGCGUGUAGGCGGUUCGGUAAGUCCGCUGUGAAAGUCGGGGGCUCAACCCUCGAAAGCCGGUGGAUACUGUCGGACUAGAGUACGGAAGAGGCGACUGGAAUUCCUGGUGUAGCGGUGAAAUGCGCAGAUAUCAGGAGGAACACCGGUGGCGAAGGCGGGUCUCUGGGCCGAUACUGACGCUGAGGAGCGAAAGCCAGGGGAGCAAACGGG
rnacentral:rRNA from 1 species